UGCGUAGGCGGCGCGGAAAGUCAGAGGUGAAAUCCCGGAGCUCAACUCCGGAACUGCCUCCGAUACUCCCGCGCUCGAGGACUGGAGAGGAGUCUGGAAUUCACGGUGGAGCAGUGAAAUGCGUGGAUAUCGUGAGGAACACUAGUGGCGAAGGCGAGACUCUGGACAGUACCUGACGCUGAGGACAAGGCCAGGGGAGCGAACG
rnacentral:rRNA from 1 species